GAGAGCAGAGGGGGACAAAGCCCUGUCACAGGGGGCUGAAGAAUAAGUGGGAGGUGAUGCCCUCCAAGAACAGGUGAUAUUUUUAAAGAAAGGGCAAGAAGGCUCUGUUGGCAAGAGCGUGGGCUUGACGUGCUGCCUCCAUGGCUCACCAGCUGAGCGGCCUCUAGGCAAGCUUCAACCUCUCUGAGCCUUGUUUCCUAAUGUGCCACAGUCCCAGCAGAGUGGGAAUGGAAGUGGCAGCCUCGUAAGAUUGCGGUGACCUUCAAAUGAGGUGGUACAAGUAAACAGAACAGUGGAGAACAGCUUAGAACUAAACUCUCAGCUUCUAUUCCUGCCAACCUAUUCUGUGCAAAUUACCUUUUAAGAAUAUUUUGCUCCCCAGCUGCAAUGUUCCCUCUGCGAGUAGGAUGACAUUCAAAGUCCUUGUGUGAGUUGGCAUUCUACUCAUCUCCCCAUCCUCGUCAUGUAGUCAUAGAGAGCAUCUGUGCCCUUGCAUUGAUUCAGCUGUGAGCACAGGAGGUGCUGGAUUGCCUUCAUCGCUGUUCGUGGAAAACCUCUUUCCCCAACUGGACUGUCCUUGUAGCACGACAGAAGCCAAGUGCCCCAGGUGGGGGCUUACUGUUCUCUACCGUGGCUGAGAACUGUGCUGUGUGCUGGAGAUGCAACUGGGACACGAUCGAAGCUCCUGUCUCUACUGAGGUCGAGGGCUGCCAAGAUGCCUCCCUGUUCAGGGGAGUCAGAGAAAUCCUGCUCCAGGUCAGAAGCCUGCUUCCCAGGUAGCUGAGCAGUUGGACCAGGAAAUCCUCAGUGAAAGGCUGCUGGUGCUGCCCUUCAUGGAAAUCUUUUCCACAGGUGGAACCUUCUUCUCCCCAAUCUUGCUUCAAGCCUCUUGGUUCCUGCUGGGGAUAUUGGCAACCUCAGUUGGGGCCAGUAAACUCUUCUGUGUCUCUGCACACCUGCUAGAAGACUUGAAACGCUUGUCAAAAUUAGCUGGUGGUCCCCCUGGUUCCUGCUAAGUUCUGGCAUUUCCAGAAAAGAGCAGAUAAAAAAGGCAGAAGGUCCUCUGGCUUGAUAUCUACCAACUUGGCCCCUCUCCCAGACCCUCCCUGCGCCCAUUAGGCAGGUCUGGUUUCACUGGUCCCAACAUGUGCAAUCCCUAGAUAAGAAUUUCCAGAGAACCUGACUACUAGCAAGAGUCUAGUUACUGUUUGGGUAAGUCAUGAUGUAGGCUUCCUUGUGAUUGGUUUUAAAAAACUCAGAAUUGCUCACUUAGUGCACUUUUAAAUGGUUAAAUCAAUGGUUUGAAAUCACAGAAACAGGUAAUCUUGCCAGUCACACAGAUUUUUUUUUUAAUUCUUUAUUCAAGUUAGUUAGCAUAUACUGUAUUAUUAGUUUCAGGGGUAAAACUUAGUGAUUCAUCAGUUGCAUAUAACACCCAGUGUUCAUUACAUC